rnacentral:rRNA from 1 species
CAGUAGCCGCGGUAAUACGUAGGUGGCAAGCGUUGUCCGGAAUUAUUGGGCGUAAAGGGCUCGCAGGCGGUUUCUUAAGUCUGAUGUGAAAGCCCCCGGCUCAACCGGGGAGGGUCAUUGGAAACUGGGAAACUUGAGUGCAGAAGAGGAGAGUGGAAUUCCACGUGUAGCGGUGAUAUGCGUAGAGAUGUGGAGGAACACCAGUGGCGAAGGCGACUCUCUGGUCUGUAACUGACGCUGAGGAACGAAAGCGUGGGGAGCGAACAGGAUUAGAUACCCCAGUAGUCCCUGUCUCUUAUAC